GACGAACGCUGGCGGCGUGCUUAACACAUGCAAGUCGAACGGAAAGGCCCUGCUUUUGUGGGGUGCUCGAGUGGCGAACGGGUGAGUAACACGUGAGUAACCUGCCCUUGACUUUGGGGUAACUUCAGGAAACUGGGGCUAAUACCGGAUAGGAGCUCCUGCUGCAUGGGGGGGGUUGGAAAGUUUCGGCGGUUGGGGAUGGACUCGCGGCUUAUCAGCUUGUUGGUGGGGUAGUGGCUUACCAAGGCUUUGACGGGUAGCCGGCCUGAGAGGGUGACCGGCCACAUUGGGACUGAGAUACGGCCCAGACUCCUACGGGAGGCAGCAGUGGGGAAUAUUGCACAAUGGGCGGAAGCCUGAUGCAGCAACGCCGCGUGCGGGAUGACGGCCUUCGGGUUGUAAACCGCUUUCGCCUGUGACGAAGCGUGAGUGACGGUAAUGGGUAAAGAAGCACCGGCUAACUACGUG
rnacentral:rRNA from 1 species